UCGCCAAGAUGGAGAGUCUAGAGUUCCCCUCACUAAACAAUACUGCACACCUAACGCAACGUUCGCCAUUUCAUGUAUUUUUGUCAAGUUUUCUCACUAAAGCUUGAUUUAUCCGCCUCCUGAACAUUGUUGACAUUCAUGAGGAUUAAGUUAACUACCUGGUCAUCGUCUGUGUUUUCUCAACAACAAAGAUAACCUGCUAGAGGCCAUUCCAGGCUAAUAUAACCUGCCAGAGGCCACCCCAGGCUAAUAUAACCUGCCAGUGACUACCCCAGGCUAAUAUAACCUGCCAGUGACCACCCCAGGCUAAUAUAACCUGCCAGAGGCCACCCCAGGCAGAUAAAACCUGCCAGAGACUAUCCCAGGCUGAUAUAACCUGCCAAAUACUACCCCAGCUGAUAUAACCUGUCAAAGACUACCCCAGUUGAUAAAACCUGCCAAAGACUACCCCAGGCUGAUAUAACCUACAAGAGACUACUUCAGGCUGAUAACCUGCCAGAGAUUACCUCAGGUUGACAACACAGAGACUAACAGGUUGUGUCUUGUGCAUAAAAAGAACCUUUGGGAGAUGCAAGCAGUUGCUCUUGAUGAACUGCAGAAGUGGACCAAGUUGAGCAUAAGAUUGGGGACUACAUCCCAAGGUCCCUGUUCCAGUCCCCAGGUGUCUUAGUGCUCUCUCCUAUGGCAGCUUGCCUAAUACCAGUGGUGACAGUGUUUCUGACUUCAACCUACAACGUCGAAGAUUGUACACUUACCAUUUAUCAUCCCCACCACCAUAUGCUUCACCACGACCCAGCACUUUGUCAGCGGUGGAAACCAUUUGCGUCACUCCUAAUUUGCCUCUCUGCUUCAUGGAGUGACAGUAAUGACCGGCUGUCACAUAGAUGGUACAGGACAAAGCAGGCCAUCCUGUAUCAUCAUAUCACCAUUUGGUCUGCCUGCAUCACAAGCUCAAGACAACAGCAUCUGCUGGUGAGUAAAGUAUGUACAGUACAGUAGUAGUAU
rnacentral:misc_RNA from 1 species